AUGAUCUCUCUCUUACACUGGGUGCAGAGCUUGCUAGUGCGAGUACUGGUCUCCCCAUUCUCAACUUAUAUCGAAAGAGUGGUCCUGGGGAACCCGCAGUAACCGGUUUCCGGUUGAAAUAUUGAGGACGAAAAAUAAUAUUUUAGAAGCCGAUUGGCGGACAUCGUGUAAAAAGCGAUUUAAGGAAUUUAUUUUGAAAUUGUAAAAUUCAGUCUAGGUCCAUCUACCAGUCACCGGUGUUGAUACAGCUAGGCAAGGGGGCAAUGAGGCAAUAGCCGGUCCAAUUAUUGACACGUAGCACGUAACGUUCGGCUGAUGUGGAUUAUUUUGUCUGUAUGGUUGGUCUCUGGAAAGAUCCAAUAGUGUAUAUAGAAAUUAAAAAAAAAAGUCCAAAAAAAGGGAAAUAUUUAAAUUAGAAAUAAAAGAUAAUAACGAGAGGGUAUUUAGUGUGGUAGAGAACGGCG
rnacentral:misc_RNA from 1 species